CCUCCUUUCUAGGGAGUAAUUCCGACCUAGUGUCGGAAUACGGUCGAACCUCAAUGUUUCGGUAACUUACGCACACGUUCUCAUAUUUUGGGGUUUGUAGCUCAGUUGGUUAGAGCACCGCUCUGAUAAGGCGGGGGUCGGUAGUUCGAGUCUACCCAGACCCACUUUGAGAGUCAUGUGUUAUUUCAGACUCUGCCAAUUCAGGGGCUGUAGCUCAGCUGGGAGAGCAUCGCGUUUGCAACGCGAGGGUCGCAGGUUCGAUUCCUGUCAGCUCCACAAUAUUUCGAAGGGUAGUCCGGCGGUUUCCGGAUUAGUUCAACAAAAAAUUAUCUUCCAUCUUCCGAUGGAAUAUCUUAAUAAAUUUGAAAUCCAUCUUUUGGAUGGAUUUCAAGAAUCUUUACUCAAGAAGUAAAGAAUCUGUUUUUUGAAAUUGUGAA
rnacentral:tRNA from 1 species